rnacentral:rRNA from 1 species
UACAGAGGGUGCAAGCGUUAAUCGGAGUUACUGGGCGUAAAGGGCGCGUAGGCGGUGAUAUGAGUGUGAUGUGAGAGCCCCGGGCUUAACCUGGGAAGCGCAUCGCAAACGAUAUGACUGGAGUAUAUGAGAGGGUGGCGGAAUUUCCGGCGUAGCGGUGUAAUGCGUAGAGAUCGGAAGGAACGUCGAUGGCGAAGGCAGCCACCUGGCAUAAUACUGACGCUGAGGCGCGAAAGCGUGGGGAGCGAACAGG